GACGAACGCUGGCGGCGUGCUUAACACAUGCAAGUCGAACGGAAAGGCCCUGCUUUUGUGGGGUGCUCGAGUGGCGAACGGGUGCGUAACACGUGAGUAACCUGCCCUUGUCUUUGGGAUAACUUCAGGAAACUGGGGCUACUACCGGAUAGCAUCCCCUGCUGCAUGGUGGGGGUUGGAAAGUUUCGGCGGUUGGGGCUGGACUGGCGGCUUAUCAGCUUGUUGGUGGGGUAGUGGCUUACCAAGGCUUUGACGGGUAGCCGGCCUGGGAGGGUGGCCGGCGACAAUGGGACUGAGGUACGGAGCAGACUCGAACGGGAGGCAGCAGUGGGGAGUAUGGCACAGUGGGCGGAAGCCUGAUGCAGAAACGCCGGGUGCGGGAUGACGGCUUGCGGGUUGUAAAACGCCGCCGCCUGUGACGAAGCGUGAGUGACGGUAAUGAGUAAAGAAGCACCGGCUAACUACGUG
rnacentral:rRNA from 1 species